rnacentral:rRNA from 1 species
GACGAACGCUGGCGGCGUGCUUAACACAUGCAAGUCGAACGGAAAGGCCUCUUUCGGGGGGUACUCGAGUGGCGAACGGGUGAGUAACACGUGAGUAACCUGCCCUUGACUUUGGGAUAACUUCAGGAAACUGGGGCUAAUACCGGAUAGGAGCUCCUGCUGCAUGGUGGGGGUUGGAAAGUUUCGGCAGUUGGGGAUGGACUCGCGGCUUAUCAGCUUGUUGGUGGGGUAGUGGCUUACCAAGGCUUUGACGGGUAGCCGGCCUGAGAGGGUGACCGGCCACAUUGGGACUGAGAUACGGCCCAGACUCCUACGGGAGGCAGCAGUGGGGAAUAUUGCACAAUGGGUGGAAGCCUGAUGCAGCAACGCCGUGUGCGGGAUGACGGCCUUCGGGUUGUAAACCGCUUUCGCUCAUGACGAAGCUUUGUGUGACGGUAGUGGGUAAAGAAGCACCGGCUAACUACGU